CAAAAUCAAACCCUUGAAGCCUCCUCCGUAUUUGCAAUUAGAUAAUCAACAGUUUCAUUACAAAUUCUCAUCUCCAGAUUCCUCUCCAAGAUCACCUAUUGCUCAUGGCAAGGACAUCCUCCGCAAAGCUUUUUCGCCAAGAAAGAAACCUACAGAUGUAGAUCCUUUUGAGGCCGCCAUAGAUAACAUUCGCAAAGGCGUUGGAGAGGAAAGAGGGAGAGAGAGGCUUCAGAACCCGGGCCGUAGAGCCACUCGGUCGCUUUCUCCUUUUCGGGUUUCAGCUUAUCCAUGGGAAGAACAAGAACAGAGAGAGGUACAACAAGGUCAUGAACAGAGAAAGGGCUCUUUCUCUUCUAUACCGUCUACAUCUUCAUCAACUUGCGUGUCUUGCAAGUUAUCUUCCUCAAAGAAAUGGAGGCUAAAGGACUUGCUUCUUUUCCGUAGCGCGUCAGAGGGAAGAGCAAGGCACAACAACAAAGAUUUCGUGAAGUCGUUAUCGGGUUUGUUCAGGAAACAAGAAGACAGCAAGAGCUCGAGCUCGAGCUCUAGAGGAAGAGGAUCACCGUCUGUCUCCUCCGCCCAUGAAUUCCAUUACAUGGCUAAAAAGGCUGAAGCAAAAGGUUUGAAGAAAAAGACUUUCUUGCCUUAUAUGCAAAUAGGAAGAUUCGCCUUCUAAAUUCUUUGAAGCGCAAACCCAAAAUGAUUAUAUUGUUUGCUUAAUUACAUGAUCUAAAGAACUGACUCAUUUCUACUCUCUUGCCUGGUUGAUGUGUUUCGGAAGCAAGUAUAAUGAACCAUAAUCAUUUGAGAUUAUUAUUUCUUGUGCAUAGUAUAGUAUAUUUGUCUAUUUGCAUUAGAGUGACUCACAUUGCAUAACAUCCCAAAAUCUAAGCCCAUACAAAAUUAAUUUUGUUAAAAGAGAAGUCUGAAAGGCCCAUUUAUAAAUACUAAUCAACUCUCUCUCUCUGUGUCUUCUAGAGAUGGUUUUCUUUGUUUUCAAAAAAGUCAGAGAAGACUUUUCUGUAAAUUUUCUAGGAUAAACAUGUUUGUUUUGCAUUUAAAAAAUAAAACUUAAAUAUAAUUUUAUCCGGAUGACUUCCAUGUAAUUUUUCCGGUAGACGACUUUGUGUUUGGCUCCGAGGGGUUAUGUUUACCUCGUCAGUUAAUAGCUCAGCAAAGGCUUUGUGUAUCUGACAGUUAAUUGAAUAAUAAUCUAACAGAUGAAAAAAGAAAAAAAAAUUCAACUCUAAAACAACUGUUAUUUUAUAAAUUUACCAAAGUGCUCGCUAGCGUCAUGAAUCAGUUUUGGACUGGUGAAGAUGCGUUACUCCUCUAUGUUUCCGAUAGUAGGUUCGGCGGAAACAUAUACUUUUUCCCUUUUGGACUCUCUACUGGAGAGACUGAGCAUAGGAGUUGCAUCUUCCCAAAUCGACUCCAACGUAAAGGAUUCACCAAUUUCUAAGCCAUUUCCUCUAGCAAAAUCUUUCCAGCCCUUUCCCAAACUCAUUCUUCCUUGGCUUUCUCGUAGAAGAUUUGUCAUCCACUUUGUACCAUCUUUUCCCAGCAAUGCUAUCGUUCCAGGUUCGUUCAUGCCGUUUUCCCUCAUGAAUGGCAAUGGAAGACCCUGGAAAAAAGAUUUAAACCAAUGAGAAUGCAAGUAACAGAACUAACUAAGAGUUGAUUGAUGAACUCACCAGUCUACUGUUUUUGAAGCUGUCUUGUGUAAGAGUUAAAGUCACAAAUCGGUUCUGGCUUCUGAAUUCCGUACUGAGCAAACUGAGCACAGGAGUUGCAUUUUCCCAGAUCAACUCCAAUGUGAAGGACUCGCCCAUGUUUAAUCCGUUUGCUCUAGCAAAAUCUUUCAAGCCCUUUCCUAAACUCAUUCUUCCUGAGUUUUCCCGUAGAAGAUUUGCCAGCAUCCUUGUACCAUCUUUCCCCAACAAAGUUACCAUACCCGGUUUGUCCAUGCCGUUUUCUUUCAAGAAUGGCAAUGGGAGAUACUAGACAAAUAAAUGAAGCGAGAAUUUAAAAAAAAAAAAAAGAUCAAACCAACAAGAUUUGUUUGUAUGAUGAACUCUCACCAGUCUGCUACUUUUGAGGCUAUCAUUUGUAAGUGUUAAAGUCACAAAUCGGUUAGGGUUUGGUAAGGUUGAAUCUCUACAUAUCUGAGGAAUGUUCUCGUCGACUCCUUGUGUUCCAUCACUGAUAGAUUCUGUUGGGCAGACACUGAGCAAAGGUGUUUCCCCGUUUCUUAUUAGUUUGAACUUAAAUAAGCUUCCUUCUUUCCGGCCGUUUUCUUCACAGAAAUUUCUCCAGCCUCGGGUUAUACAGAAUGUAUCAGACGAUUUGUUGAACCUCAGAUCCAACGCCCAUGAUCUUUCCCUUUCAUCUGUUAAAACAAUCUUGCGGCAUUUUCUUUUAAAACCAUUUGAGAUUGUGAAAUCUGGUGGAAGACACUGCAGAAUAAAUAGGUUCACGCAUUUCAUCAAGUUGUGCAAAACUUUGUUUAGUCUCAUUACUAAAAUAAUUUGACAAAAAUACAUAAUAAACCAAACCCAUGUUGUUGAGGUUAAUUUAUGAUUUUUUUUUGAAUAACAAUGAAAUGCACAAUUCUAGAAACAGCAGUUCAUCUGACAGGUAUGCAAAAACAAUUGAAGAAGUGUAUACACGCACCAGAGAAUCUUCUUCCAGAUUGGAAGCGGUAACAGGGGCCACAAAACAAGAGUUGUCGGACGAAGAAGAAUCAGCUUCUGCUUGGGAAUUGUUCUUCUUCACUUUCUUAUUUCCUGUUAAAACCUCGGAUUUUUUUUUUUAAUUUUGUAAACAUCCGACCAAGUAAUAAGCUCUGACAUAUGUAUAAAUAUUUGUGUCAUUACAAGAAAAAGAUUAGAAGAGAAGUGAAGUUACCGGUGUUGUCCUGACCAUCAUCAACUUCUUCUGUUGUUAUAGGAUGCUUCUUCCUCGAGAUGUAACCUGUUUAGAACAAGUAAACAAUCUCAGUUUUCCCUUCAAACUGGACUACAUUUAAAAAAAUAAUAAUAAUAAUAAAAUAAGUAAACAGAGGCAAACUUACCCAUGUUUGCCUGAUCCUCGUUGUUGGUGUGUGUGUCACAGGAAGUGGAUCCUGAACCAGAGAGCAUCUCUGUGUGGGGCUAAUACCUUCUUCUCCAGGCUUGUUCCUUGUUGAUGCUUCGAGAACAGGAAUCGGCUACAAGUAAAAAAAAAAAUGUAAGCUGUGAAAAAUUCUCAGAAGAGAAAAAGGUUAUCAGUUUUACCUCUUAGAGAGCGAAUGUUCGUAUGCAUUUCUGGAAAAUUCGAAAUCUCAGCGUUAAUUUGGGUGUUGCAACUUUUUGGUUCAAUAUCUCUCGGCUAACGUUCCAAUUUAAAAUCUCUCGAUUUGGGGAUUUGGAGAAGAAGAUUUGAUUGAGAAAUUGCUAACCUUUGAACACAGAUCGAUAAUAAGAGAAGAGAAGCUUCCUUCCGUUGAUAUUGAAGAAGGAAUGACACGUCGAGCUUUAUCUAUGCUCUUCACCAAGUGGGCCUAAUUUGGUUGGGCUUUAAACUCAUUCAGAUCUCAAAUUUCUUUUCAAACCCUUUGACAUUGCAAGUAACAGCAGUUAUUAAACUGACUUUUCAGUGGAGGAGACAAUCUAAAGAGCACAAUAAUCAUUUCUGUUCACGUUCAUUCAUCCCACUCUUUUUUUUUUUUUUUACUCAGCCUAAUAAAAUUUAUAUUAAGAAGAAAAAAAAAACUUUUUAGUUCCUUGGCAUUGUUUCAUUUUUCUACUACAAUAAAUCUUCUAUUGUUUACACAACUUGGCUCUCUAAAUCUAUUCUCCGAACUUAUGAAAUGACUCCAACUCGAAGUACCUAAAGAUAACAAGAAGAUUUUCACCAUGCACACGUAUAUGUAACAACAAACCAUUCAUCUCUUAACUACCCCGCCCACCAGUGUCUUUAACCAGUUGACCGAAACUCUGUAUCUUAUACUUUCAAAAACAAAACUCGGCGUGUUAAUGUUCACGACCACAAACCGAACUCUGCACACAUGAAACCAGUAGGCCAGUUUCAACAACGAUGCUAAUGCAGUGCCUCUUAUUUGAAUACAAAGACCCAUACAUUUGAAAACAUAAGCAAACAGUUUUCAUCAUUUUUUUCACCCGCCAAAGUGACCCACAGUACUUAUUUCUCAAACCAAAUAACAAUUAGCAAACUAAUCAGAGAAAGAAACCUACAGAUGUAGAUCCUUUUGAGGCCGCCAUAGAUAACAUUCGCAAAGGCGUUGGAGAGGAAAGAGGGAGAGAGAGGCUUCAGAACCCGGGCCGUAGAGCCACUCGGUCGCUUUCUCCUUUUCGGGUUUCAGCUUAUCCAUGGGAAGAA
rnacentral:lncRNA from 1 species